rnacentral:rRNA from 1 species
CCCGUUGAUCCUGCGGGAGGUUGCUGCUAUUAGGUUUCCGCUAAGCCAUGCAAGUCAGGUAGCAGUACCGGCGAACUGCUCAUUAACACGUCGAUAAUCUGCCCUUAAGUCUGGGAUAACCUUGGGAAACUGAGGGUAAUACCGGAUAGGAGAUUGAUACUGGAAUGUUCUUUCUUUUAAAAGUAAUGCUUAAGGAUGAGUUGGCGGCCGAUUAGGUAGUUGGUGGUGUAAUGGACCACCAAGCCUGUGAUCGGUAGGGGCCUUGAAAGAGGUUGCCCCGAGAAGGGUACUGAGACACCGACCCUAGCCCCACGGGGUGCAGCAGGCGGGAAAUCUUUGCAAUGCGCGAAAGCGUGACAAGGGAAGCCUAAGUGCUUAUGCUUUUAGUAUAGGCUUUUGCCAAGUGUAAAUAGCUUGGAGAAUAAGUGGUGGGCAAGACUGGUGCCAGCCGCCGCGGUAACACCAGCGCCACAAGUGGUGACCAUGUAUUUGGCCUAAAGCGUUCGUAGCCGGUUCAAUAAAUCUUUUGUGAAAUCAUUGCGCUUAACGUAAUGGCGUGCAGAAGACACUAUUGAACUAGGAAUUGGGAGGAGUCAGGAGUAUUCUUGGGGGAGCGGUAAAAUGCUUUAAUCCCUUGAAGACUACCGAUGGCGAAGGCACCUGACUAGAACAAGUUCGACGGUGAGGGACGAAAGCUAGGGGAGCAAAACGGAUUAGAUACCCGUGUAGUCCUAGCUGUAAACUCUGCGAGCUAGGUGUUGCAUAAUCUUUCGAGUUUAUGCAGUAUCGGAGCGAAGGCAUUAGGCUCGCCGCCUGGGAAGUACGGUCGCAAGGCUGAAACUUAAAGGAAUUGGCGGGGAGGCACUACAAGGGGUGCGGCGUGCGGUUUAAUUGAAUUCAACGCCGGAAAUCUCACCAGGAGCGACGGCAGGAUGAAAGUCAGUCUAAAGGGCUUACUUAACGAGCCGAGAGGUGGUGCAUGGCCGCCGUCAGCUCGUGCUGUAAAGUGUCCAGUUAAGUCUGGUAACGAGCGAGACCUGUAUUUACAAUUGCUAACGAACUAUGUGAUCGAGCACAUUGUAGAGACUGCCUUGGAAACAAGGAGGAAGGUGCAGGCUACGGUAGGUCUGUAUGCCCCGAAUCCCCUGGGCAACACGCGCGCAGCAAUGGUAGGGACAAUGGGCUGCGACUCCGAAAGGAGAAGCUAAUCCUCUAAACCCUAUCUAAGUCCAGAUUGAGGGCUGUAACUCGCCCUCAUGACGUCGGAAUCCCUAGUAAUCAGAAUUUAGCAUAUUCUGGUGAAUAUUGUCCCUGCCUCUUGCACACACCGCCCGUCAAACCAACCGAGCAGGGUUUAGGUGAGACUUAGUUUUAUUGACUAAAGCGAACCUAAGCUCAGUGAGGUGGGUUAAGUCGUCACAAGGUC